rnacentral:lncRNA from 1 species
AUCAUAUGAUUUUAAUGAAAAUUAAAAUAAUUAAACAAACUAGUUUUAUAUCUGAGCUCUCGGCGCAUCGACUUGCUUAAGUCUGAGGAUUACUUGAAAAUAUCAUCAAACAGAAAAUGUGUUUUUGAAACUCAGUGUAUAACGAAUAACUUAAAACAGUUAAUGCAUAUCAGACAGAUUUAUGAAAAACAUAUUUAUAACGGAGUAGAACAUAUACAAACAUAUAACCCUACCCCAACCGCUACACAUCAUCUCCGACCAUCUC